ACCUACAGAGCCCUGUCUCCAGACCCCACCUACAGUGCCCCAUCGCCAGACCCCACCUACAGUGCCCCAUCUCCAGACCCCACCUACAGUGCCCCAUCUCCAGAUCCCACCUACAAUGCCUCGUCUCUUGCCACUACUUAUGACCCGCCCACACCGCUGGCCCCUCCUAAAUACGACUUCAACUGGAAAGUCAAGGAAGACUACUCUGGCAACUACUUCGGCCACCAGGAGCUCCGAGACGGCUACGACACUCAGGGCUCCUACUACGUGCUGCUUCCCGACGGUCGUUUACAGAAGGUGAACUACACUGUCAACGGCGAGGCCGGUUACGUGGCCGAGGUGACCUAUGAGGGUGCAGCCCAGUACCCUGCACCCCUGCCCUCCUACAGCCUCCCUGCCCAAACCUACCAGCCAGCCCCGACUUAUGCCUAAACUCUUGAUACUGAACGCAAAAACGUAUGUGAAUUUGAUACUUCUGACUAGCUGUUCAUUUUUAAUGAUAUCAGUAAAUGAUAAAAAAAACA